rnacentral:rRNA from 1 species
GGACUACUCGGGUAUCUAAUCCCGUUCGCUCCCCUGGCUUUCGCGCCUCAGCGUCAGUAAUGGCCCAAGAAGCCGCCUUCGCCACUGGUGUUCCGACUGAUAUCUACGCAUUUCACCGCUACACCAGCCAUUCCACUUCUCUCUACCACCCUCAAGAAAACCAGUAUGAGGAGCACUGCAUGGGGUUGAGCCCCAGCCUUUCACUUCUCACUUAAUUUCCCGCCUACGCGCGCUUUACGCCCAGUAACUUCGGACAACGCUCGCUCCCUCCGUAUUACCGCGGCUGCUGGCAC